CUUAGUGUUUAUAUUGUCUUUGGUUGUACUGUCUGUGUGUGAAUUUGCACAAAAGUCAGUGGAUAUCUUCCCUCUUGAAGGGACGAGCAAUAUGAAAUAAUAAAAGGGUUUGCCACGUCGAUGCGAAAUUCUUGCAUUUCGGUUCGUUAUCGUUGGUAACGGUCCCUAAGCGUUGCCAUGUGUGCAUUUAAAAUAUUUUGAGCUCGGUAUUUUGGUUGUGCUUUCAAUUGUUUGCGAAAGCAAUCCUAAAUCAACUGAUGGGCAAUUGCGAUGCUUUUCAUAUAAAAAUAUAUGGAACUAGAUUCUUUAUCAUAUAGUGUAGAAAACAGGCCCUCAACCAGUGCAAAAUGUGACGUCUCCAGCAAUCUGUGUUCUUCCAAUUAACAAAAUUCGCGAGAAAAAGCGGGCGCCCAACGCUUUUGUAGCAGACAUGAAAUACGACGUGCGAAAAGAAAAAAGCAACUCGUGUAAGCCAGUUGCUGGUUUUUCUAGAAAAGGGCUUACGCUUUUUCACAAGCAAAACAUGCAUGCCAAUGCGAGUACCGGAUAACAAUAUAUUCCAGCUGUAGUUAUUCAAAACGGCUUUUCUCAUGCUGUCAUAGCAAGGCAGCGCAAUCAAUUCAGGACUUAAAUUUAAGAAUGGAUCAAAUGUUCAAACUGAUACAGCCGACAUUGGACGCAAACAAAGCUUUUCGUGACCUGGUUGAGCAUCUCAUCUCCCUAAAAUCCAAAUGACCAACCCGUAUUUAAAAAUUGGACUGUGGAACUCACGGGGUUAAUUUAAGAAAAAUGAUAAACUUAGGCUCUUUCUUAGUGGCCACACUAUAGACAUAAUGCUGUGUUAAUUGCAGAGAUUGCGCCGAGGUCAUUGUGAGAUCUUCUGUUCGUCACUGUCAGAAUAAGCCGAAUUGCUGUGAACGUGCACACAAACUCUAGAAGCAUGACAAUUGCUUCCUUAUGUCUUCCACCUAAGGAACCAUGGACCAAGGCGAACUUUGAAUAUAUCUUGAUUACUUUGGGCAGCAAAUUCAUUGCAGGCAACCCAACAUUCUAUUCGUAUAAAACGCACCUCACCACGUUUGCUGGACUUUUUCGUAACAAACGGGAUUGCUUGGGAUAGGCUAACAGUUCAAUCGCUAUAUGAACAAUCCUCGGAUCACUUGCCCAUACUGGUAAUAAUGCAUCACCCACGUCAAUUAAAAACUCGAACGCAACGACUUUUCCCGCCUGGAUCCUCUGUUAAAACGUUUAGAGCUGACUUGGACAAAAGAAUAAAUGUCAACAUUGUGUUAAGCGUUCCGCAGGACAUUGAGGACACAAUCUCCGUGCUCAUGGAAAAUAUAAGGCAAUCAGCAAUUUGCACUUCUCCUAAGACGCUGCAACAACCGAAUCAACGAAAGGGUGUGCAGCUGCCGACAGCAAUUAGUGCUGUGCUUUGCAUAACGAAAAGUGUCGGAAAGGAAUAUCCCAGAAGGGGAGAUAAACGUGCUCAUCUAAUCUAUAAAAGGCUUGCCAACCGUCUACAAAAUGUUCUAAAUAGUUACAAGCAGUCUCAAAUUGAUUGACUUCUAGACGACGCAGGAACAAAUGCAUAAACAAACUAUUCGCUCUGGAAACUGACAAGCUGCUUUAAGCCACUCAAUUGUUCCAGUUAGUGAGUAGCUUCUUGAAUCAUAGAACAUUUUGUGUAGUUGUCGAUGGUAAAAAGUCGUCAAAUCGACCCAUACGCGCUGGAGUCCCAGGCAAAGGCAGCGUCCUCGGUCCUUAUUGCCACGCAUGCAGAUGACACUUCUGUGCUGACCAGCAAUAGGCACUGCCACAGAGGCGUUACAAGAAUACCUGGGUAGCUUCGGACCAUGGGUCUUAGAAGGGAAUAUCAGCAUCAAUUGUACAAAGAUGAUAUGAAUAUUUUCUGCUAAGAACAAGCUUUCGCUUAAAAACGAAGUAAGAAUUUACAGAUCAAUACUGACUCCCAUAUGGACCUAUGCACUGCAAUGUACGGGAUUGCCGCAAAAUCGCACCUCAAGAAAAUAAGAGUAGCGCAGAGCAAAAUUCGUAAAAGGAUAGGUAAUGCUCCUUGGUAUAUGAGUACUAGGGACAUCGAGAGAGACCAAGGAGCUCCCAAAGUUGGAGACGUAAUCCGUCAGCAUGCCAAAAGAUACCUUGAUUGCCUACUCCCAUCCCAACCCACUUGCAAUUAACCUAACUUCUCAUGGAAAAACAUGAAUAAGGUGCCCCAUUAAAGGAGAUAAACGUCUCUAGGGUUAAAAAGAGAAGACAAACGGCGCCAUCCCUAUAUAUAAUACAUAAUAUAACAAAUAAUCUACAGAAUAAAAACAACACUUUUCUCUUUAUAGCCCUUUACAUCGUAGACCAAUUAGUAGCGUCUUGUUAAUUUUUUCCAACAUACGUGACUAGCUUAAGCUGACAUUUUUGGUAGUAGUGAUAUUGUUAACAAUAAAAUACAUAUACAUAUUUAAUAAUUAAAGAAUGCCAAAAGAAAAGUGUCGUUCAAGCGUCUGGGCUACUCGCCAAUGGCAACUGGUGCGAAAAUGGUUUUCUAAUGACACAAACAUAACGGAGGAGGAACGCAACGACUUUUCCCGCCUGGAUCCUCUGUUAAAACGUUUAGAGCUGACUUGGACAAAAGAAUAAAUGUCAACAUUGUGUUAAGCGUUCCGCAGGACAUUGAGGACACAAUCUCCGUGCUCAUGGAAAAUAUAAGGCAAUCAGCAAUUUGCACUUCUCCUAAGACGCUGCAACAACCGAAUCAACGAAAGGGUGUGCAGCUGCCGACAGCAAUUAGUGCUGUGCUUUGCAUAACGAAAAGUGUCGGAAAGGAAUAUCCCAGAAGGGGAGAUAAACGUGCUCAUCUAAUCUAUAAAAGGCUUGCCAACCGUCUACAAAAUGUUCUAAAUAGUUACAAGCAGUCUCAAAUUGAUUGACUUCUAGACGACGCAGGAACAAAUGCAUAAACAAACUAUUCGCUCUGGAAACUGACAAGCUGCUUUAAGCCACUCAAUUGUUCCAGUUAGUGAGUAGCUUCUUGAAUCAUAGAACAUUUUGUGUAGUUGUCGAUGGUAAAAAGUCGUCAAAUCGACCCAUACGCGCUGGAGUCCCAGGCAAAGGCAGCGUCCUCGGUCCUUAUUGUCACGCAUGCAGAUGACACUUCUGUGCUGACCAGCAAUAGGCACUGCCACAGAGGCGUUACAAGAAUACCUGGGUAGCUUCGGACCAUGGGUCUUAGAAGGGAAUAUCAGCAUCAAUUGUACAAAGAUGAUAUGGAUAUUUUCUGCUAAGAACAAGCUUUCGCUUAAAAACGAAGUAAGAAUUUACAGAUCAAUACUGACUCCCAUAUGGACCUAUGCACUGCAAUGUACGGGAUUGCCGCAAAAUCGCACCUCAAGAAAAUAAGAGUAGCGCAGAGCAAAAUUCGUAAAAGGAUAGGUAAUGCUCCUUGGUAUAUGAGUACUAGGGACAUCGAGAGAGACCAAGGAGCUCCCAAAGUUGGAGACGUAAUCCGUCAGCAUGCCAAAAGAUACCUUGAUUGCCUACUCCCAUCCCAACCCACUUGCAAUUAACCUAACUUCUCAUGGAAAAACAUGAAUAAGGUGCCCCAUUAAAGGAGAUAAACGUCUCUAGGGUUAAAAAGAGAAGACAAACGGCGCCAUCCCUAUAUAUAAUACAUAAUAUAACAAAUAAUCUACAGAAUAAAAACAACACUUUUCUCUUUAUA